GUAGAUCAUGUGCUGUUGCGUCAACCAACUUUUUAUAGAUAUAGCGGGCCACCACUUUGUUCUCUCCCUUGCCAUGUGCCACCUAGGGUUUUUUUUAAUAACAUUGACUCAGGAGCCUCUGGAGCCUUUGGCAAUUAAUCCGUCUUGAUGGGCUAACUGAUCAGCCAUGAUCUCUCAUAAUCCCUUGUGGUCUUCUGUAAUGCUGGUCACAAUAGCUAUAAAUCUAAGCCCAACAUCUUAUUAACCAUUGAUUAUCUGGAAGAGACUAUACUGCUUGACUAUGUUGCCCAGAUAAUGGGGAUGGGUCCAUUAUCACACCAUGUUCCAUAAUUCUUUAUACAGUAUAUAUAAUUUAGUGACAUGGCAAGAGUUGUUCAAGACCACUUACCUUCCUGCUUGUCAGUGUUUACUUACUUUGCCUCUGAGAGAUCAUUGCCCAGAUUCUUUCAGAAGUAUUCCUUUGACCCAGUAAUGAUUAGAAAUUUGCUUUUCUUUUGAUCUUUUCACAGAGCUCAUAAAAUAUUUUAUUUUUAUUCUCUCAGAAAUAUGGCCUUGUUUGUAAGCUCUUGGGACAGAGCUUUUGCUGACGUUUUUCUGCAGAGCAUCAAAUACAUAUCUGCUGUAUAAAUACAAUAUGCAGGCAUUUCCUGCUCAUAAAAGGAAAGUAUUCUCACCACACCCACCAUUUCCAAAUAGGGCUCAGUUGAUUAGCUUAAAAAGACUUCCUCCUGCCUCUUAGGCGGAAUCUAUCAAAAUGCUUUUGAUUUUUCUAAAAAGUGCUAGUUUGGCAAUAUGUGGUAAAUUAGAUUCAUAGAAUUACUGAGCUCCUGCUGAAAUCUGCUUUUCAUGGGUAUAUUUCAUACUAUGUCAUCUUUAUUCAUUGUCACUUUAGAGUCAAUUUGAGUCUAACCUUUACAAAUGAUGGAAAGUGUACUUUUCAUAAUUUAAUAUCCUUGAUGUGUCGAACUUGGAGUAGAUUUAAUCAAACAUUCAGCAAAAGGCAUGGUAAAAGAUACCACAAAGAAUCAAAUAACACUUAUAAACUCUGUAUCUGGUGAAAGCCUGAUAAAUGUUAUAAAAAAUAUCUGUCUUUUGAGCUAGACUCCCAGUGGCCAAAACAGUGCUUUUCUUGUGUUCUAUCCUGAUUAAAACCUAAAAGGAGGAACACAGCUAAAUGCUACUUUUAAUGAGUUGCUGUCAUGCUUCUUCAGUUCAUUUGAGAUCAAAUUACUGGAAAAUGCUGUGUUAAAGGAAAAUCAUAUUGAAAUAGUGCUUGGCAGGAGAUACCAAACACUUAAGGAACAAGAUCAUUAUCUGGAAAGUGGCAAAUAUUUUAUUAAGUUCCCCUAAACAUGCAUUGUGAGAUAUGGAAAUGCCAGAUUGUAUUACCUAUGUUGACUCUUUCAUGAAGUUUCACAUAGAAAGUUAUAGCUGUUUGUUUAUUGGUAUGGACUUGUUAUGUUUCUAUGGCUUCCGUCUCCCCAUUUUAUUUUUUAUUUUCACAACAAACCUGUGAUAUAGAUGUGGCUGCAAGAGAGUUAACUGCCCAAAGAUCACUACUGAGUGACCUACAGGUGAGUUUCAUGGCUCAGCAGUGAUUAGAAUAUAACCUCUUACUACUACUCUAGCACUGGAGCCCCUGGUGGCGCAAUGGGUAAACCUCUUGUGCCAGCUGGACUGCUGACCAACAGGUCAGUGGUUCGAAUCCAGGGAGAGCAGGUGAGCUCCCUCUGUCAGCUCCAGCUCCUCAUGUGGGGACAUGAGAGAAGCCUCCCACAGGGUGGUAAAACAUCAAACAUCUGGGUGUCCCUUUGGCAACAUCCUUCAAGAUGGCCAAUUCUCUCACACCAGAAGUGACUUGCAGUUUCUCAAGUCGCACCUGACAUGAAAAACAAAAACAAAACCUAGCACUAUAACCACUACAUCACACUGGUUCUUAAUUAACACAAGAACAAAUACCAACAAUUGAAUGGGUCCUACAGCUAAUCAGGCCUGAACUCUACCUAGAAAGCUGGACAGUGAAAAAAGCUGAUGGGAAGGAAAUGAACUUAUCUGAGAUGUGGUGCUGGGGAAGAGUUCUACGGAUACCAAGGAGAGCUAAAAAGACAGAUGAAUGGAUUCUAGACCAAGUCAAGCCUGAACUUGCCAUAGAAGCAAAAAUAAUUAAUCUUAGUCUAUUGCAUAUGGUGUAGUGGUUUAGGUAUUCAUCUAGGUCUAGAGCAGAUUCAGAUCCCUCUGCCAUAAAAGAUCACUGGGUGGACUUCGGGAAAGUCACUCGCCCUCAGCCCAAGAGGAAGGCAAUGGCAAAUUCCUCUGAGAAAAUUUUGACAAGGCAACACUGUAAUAAAUUCACAUUAGAGUUCCCAUAAGUGAGAAAUUGCUUGAAGUCACACAAAAACAAGAAAAAAGGAUUCCACCUAAACAUUAGGAAAAAUCUCCUGACAGUUAGAACUGUUCGUCAGUGGAAUAUGGGGGCUAAGAACGUGGUGGAACCACUAUCUCUGGAGGCUUUUAAAUAGUGGCUGGAUGGCCAUUUAUCGGGAUUGCUUUGACUGUGUUCCUACAUGGCAAGGAUUGGACUGAAUUGUCCUUGUAGUCUCUUUCUGUUCCAGAAUUCUGAUAAAGUAUAGUUUGCCUUUUUUGUGAGACAACAUGAUUCAUUAGAAAAGAUUAUAAUGGGCUGACAGUAGAAUAAGAAGAUGGCUGCAUUACAGAAUGAUAAACUUAAUCAAGGAAGCCACAACUCAUUGUUUGCAUGGUCAGAGUAGAGAUAUUGAUGACAUAUUUGGAAGUCUUUUGUUUAUAGAGUCAGCAUAAAUCCAAGCCAGGUUGAUGGCAGUUAGCAACAUUAUUUAAAGUGUCUCUGCACUGCCUCCAAGCCCACAAGGACCUCUGCACAAUUUAACUUUACCUUCCCUAUUUCUUUAGAUUCCACUUAAGGAUACAAAAGGUAAUACAGACAGUCCCCGAGUUACAAACAUCCAGCUUACAACUCAUAGAUAAGAACCGGGAUGAGACAAUAGGAAGUAAGAGAAAUCUACCCCUCGGAAGUGGAAUUCAUUCCUGGAAAAGGUGUCUCCACUGCAGCUUUCCCACAAAUCCUUAUUUUUACAGCAAACCAACAUUUUCAAAAUUCAAUUAUCAUAGGGACAGAAAGUGCGGUGAAAUCUCCUGAACAGAGACACAGACAGCAAAGCAAACACCAUAGGGGUGUUAUAACCCUUCCCAAUGCUAUCUAAAGUGUGUGUAUGGCUGGAUUUACACUAACAAUUUUAACUUAAGAACAAACCUUCAGAACCUAUCUUGUUGAUAACAUGUGGACAGCCAUGUAUAGAAUUUUACACAAAUGAAUAAAUGCUAUUGAACUGAGGAAAAAAUGAGAAUAUUUUUUUCCUUGGAAGGAGGGCCUCUUAGGUUGGAUGAAGUGUCAAAAGGUUUUGCCCCUAAAUUUUGAAGCCUUGAUCCUGUGGCUAUCAUUGUAUAUUAUCAGCAAAAGAUGUACCUCUUCCCUGUCACCCCCUUUUACUGUACUGAUUCUAAAGGCAAGGCAGAAUACUUUGUUUUCCUAGAAGGCUCUUAAGAUUUCUAGCUUGCUGUGCCAUAAGCCUUCUCAAAAUGAAAAAUGUUGAGUUGUAAAAGGCGUAGGUAUAAUAUAUAUUUCCUGUGGCUAAAAAGACACCUCCCCCCGGCAAGUCAGUUUUGCAGUUCUGGUUUCAUCAAUCAAAGUGUAGCCUUGAACAAGCUGUCAGUUGUGCUGAUGGCUCAUUCAUCUCAACUGUAAAAGUGAAUAUGAAAUACAAACUUUCCAAACAGAAAAGCUGGCUCUGUUCACAACUGGGUGGUGCUGUUCAUAACUUUUGGAAAGGGCAUAGAAACAGCUAUUGGGGGAUAGCCUUGGAAGAAUCGUGCAUUGUGAAAGUGCCCCUCAGAUAGGAGGUUGAAUGUGGUAGGAUAAAAACCUGUGAUUUAGACUGAAGCUUGAGAGAGAUUAAACUUUUGCCAUCACUUCAUGGAAAAGCAGACAGAAUUGGAAGAAGGCUUGCCUUUUUACUUAUUGUAUGUGACCAGAAUCAAAAGGCAAGUCUAGGUUCAUCAUGAUAGAUGUGUUUUCCUUCCAUUCUCCCCAGAUAGCUUAUAAGGCAAGUCUUUUAGCACUAGCAGUAAUUCUUCUUUAUUGUUAACUGCCAAAUCUAACCAGCUGAUGAGCUUAUUGUAUAUUUUGUAAGCUUUUAGAAAUCCCUCUUGUCUCAGUGUCUCUUCUGCUCUUUUACUUGGUGCAGAUAAAAAAGACAGAAUGUUUAUGCCUUCAAAAACAUUUAAAAAGUAAAGGACACGGGAAUGGACUGGUGGUCUUUCAUUCAUGUACUAACCAGAGUUGAACCUACAUAGCUUCCAAGAUCAGACUGCAUUGUGUUUCUUCAUUUUAUGCUCUGUUUUUUUGCUGUGUUGCUAUUGUCUCCUGUCUACUCAGACAUGUCAAUGUAAUAUGAUGUCUUAUAUACAAACCUAUCAGUCCUUCAUGUUAGCAUAACAAUGGCCUUUCCUACUUCAUAGUAUAAUAUUCUUGUAUCUUAUCAAGAUGCUUCAGGUUGUCAUUGGCCAGUUCUUUUUUUUAUAUGAUUAAACACUGAUCCCUAGGAAGAUGCUAUGGUGCCUGAUUUUUCAUUUGGCCAUCUUGCUUGGCUGACUUGAGUAGCUUUGUUGUUCACAUCUUUCUUUGGAUGAUAUGCAUUAGAGGAACAGAAUAUCUUGUCAAAAUGCUGCUGUGUCCAUUCAUCCCAUAAUUCUUGUGUAUUGUGAUGCUGUUUGUUUCCUUGAUGUCAAAGUGUUAAGCACAAAUGUGUGCUAUUACAUAUGCUGUGAUGCAGCCAACUGUGAAGAACAUGAUUUUAACUACAUAAUCACUGAGCUUUCACUAAUACGUUGCUGUAAGCUUUAUGUCUGGUGCAACAUGUAAGGAAAUCUCUGACACCUUCUAAUGGCAGUUGGAACAUGCUCUGUAAUGGCAACUGUAUUAGUUUUACUGUGUUUUAUGCCUGGGAAAUGAAGUUUUCAUUUUGCUGAAGAUGAAAAGGGAUUAGAAGGGACUUCCUGUUCUUCAGCCAUCAAUAAUUUUACUUCACAUUUUAAUAUCUGGUUGACUGAUUCUAGCAUAUAUAUUCAUAAUUGAACAUUUGACCCUUCAUUGAAAAAUAUGGGUCAGCAUUGAGUUCUAACUGACAAUCUGUGUGGUAACAGUCAAUCACUCAUUAACAUGGGUGUAUAAACUCCCAUGGGUGUAUAAACUCCGGUGGCUCAGUGUGUUAAAACACUGAGCUGCUGAACUUGCAGACCAAAAGGUCCCAAGUUCAAACCCGUGGAGCGGAGUGAGCGCCCGCUGUUAGCUCCAGCUUCUGCCAACCUAGCAGUUCGAAAACAUGCAAUGUGAGUAGAUCAAUAGGUACCGCUCCAGCAGGAAAGUAACGGCGUUCCAUGAAGUCAUGCCAGCCACAUGACCUUGGAGGUAUCUACGGACAAUGCCGGCUCAAAUGGAGAUGAGCACCAACCCCCAGAGUCAGACACGACCGGACUUAACAUCAGGGGAAACCUUUACCUUUACCUUUUAUAAACUGUUGUAACCAUAAAAAUAUUUGUCUGCAGAAUCUCCAUUUGUCUUGGAAAUAUGGGAUGUUCUCCCCCCCUCCUGAUUUCCUACAGAAUUGUUCCAUGUAUCUGUGCUCUUGUGAAAUUGAUCUUGUCAAAAGUACCUGGGUGGAAAUUUGCAGGGAUGUGCUGAACUUCCCCUUCCCUUUCAGGAAAGGGGGCUUACUGGUGGGGGAUUUAUACCCUAUGCUGAAGAUUUGUUUAUUUAGAAAGGAAGGACAUUAAAGGUUUCUUUCACUUAAA